AUUGAUUUUAUGCUUGCAUAAAUGAUUUUUGGAUUCGGAGCGAGUGGCGAACUGGUGAGUAACACGUGGGUAACCUGCCCCGAAGCGGGGGAUAACAUUUGGAAACAAGUGCUAAUACCGCAUAAUUAGUUGGAACCGCAUGGUUCCAACUUGAAAGAUGGCUCUGCUAUCACUUUGGGAUGGACCCGCGCCGUAUUAGUUAGCUGGUGAGAUAAAAGCCCACCAAGACGAUGAUACGUAGCCGACCUGAGAGGGUAAUCGGCCACAUUGGGACUGAGACACGGCCCAGACUCCUACGGGAGGCAGCAGUAGGGAAUCUUCCACAAUGGACGAAAGUCUGAUGGAGCAACGCCGCGUGAGUGAUGAAGGUUUUCGGAUCGUAAAACUCUGUUGUUAAAGAAGAACAAGUGUUAGAGUAACUGUUAACACUUUGACGGUAUUUAACCAGAAAGCCACGGCUAACUACGUGCCAGCAGCCGCGGUAAUACGUAGGUGGCAAGCGUUGUCCGGAUUUAUUGGGCGUAAAGCGAGCGCAGGCGGUUUUGUAAGUCUGCUGUGAAAGCCCUCAGCUCAACUGAGGAAGUGCAGUGGAAACUACAAAACUUGAGUACAGAAGAGGAAAGUGGAACUCCAUGUGUAGCGGUGAAAUGCGUAGAUAUAUGGAAGAACACCAGUGGCGAAGGCGGCUUUCUGGUCUGUUACUGACGCUGAGGCUCGAAAGCAUGGGUAGCGAACAGGAUUAGAUACCCUGGUAGUCCAUGCCGUAAACGAUGAAUACUAGGUGUUGGAGGGUUUCCGCCCUUCAGUGCCGCAGCUAACGCAUUAAGUAUUCCGCCUGGGGAGUACGACCGCAAGGUUGAAACUCAAAGGAAUUGACGGGGGCCCGCACAAGUGGUGGAGCAUGUGGUUUGAUUCGAUGCUACGCGAAGAACCUUACCAGCUCUUGACAUCUUCUGCCAACCCAAGAGAUUGGGCGUUCCCUUCGGGGACAGAAUGACAGGUGGUGCAUGGUUGUCGUCAGCUCGUGUCGUGAGAUGUUGGGUUAAGUCCCGCAACGAGCGCAACCCUUAUUAUUAGUUGCCAGCAUUUAGUUGGGCACUCUAGUGAGACUGCCGGUGAUAAA
rnacentral:rRNA from 1 species